UAAUACGGAGGGUGCAAGCGUUAAUCGGAAUUACUGGGCGUAAAGCGUGCGUAGGUGGCUUGUUAAGUCAGAUGUGAAAGCCCCGGGCUCAACCUGGGAACUGCAUUUGAAACUGGCAAACUAGAGUAUAGGAGAGGAAAGUGGAAUUUCUGGUGUAGCGGUGAAAUGCGUAGAUAUCAGAAGGAACAUCAAUGGCGAAGGCAGCUUUCUGGACUAAUACUGACACUGAGGUACGAAAGCGUGGGUAGCAAACAGGAUUAGAUACCCUGGUAGUCCACGCCGUAAACGAUGACAACUAGCCGUUGGGGGGAUUUACCCUUUAGUGGCGAAGCUAACGCGUUAAGUUGUCCGCCUGGGGAGUACGGCCGCAAGGUUA
rnacentral:rRNA from 1 species